GACGAACGCUGGCGGCGUGCUUAACACAUGCAAGUCGAACGGUGAUGACAGGGCUUGCUCUGUCUGAUCAGUGGCGAACGGGUGAGUAACACGUGAGCAACCUGCCCCUGACUCUGGGAUAACGACCGGAAACGGUCGCUAAUACCGGAUAUGAGACGUACAGGCAUCUGUUGCGUCUGGAAAGUUUUUCGGUCAGGGAUGGGCUCGCGGCCUAUCAGCUUGUUGGUGGGGUAACGGCCUACCAAGGCGACGACGGGGAGCCGGCCGGAGAGGGCAACCGGCGACACUGGGACUGAGGCACUGCCCAGACUCCUACGGGAGGCAGCAGUGGGGAAUAUUGCACAAUGGGCGCAAGCCUGAUGCAGCGACGCCGCGUGAGGGAUGACGGCCUUCGGGUUGUAAACCUCUUUCAGCAGGGAAGAAGCGCAAGUGACGGUACCUGCAGAAGAAGCGCCGGCUAACUACGUGCCAGCAGCCGCCGUAAGAC
rnacentral:rRNA from 1 species